CCUACGGGUGGCAGCAGUGAGGAAUAUUGGUCAAUGGCCGCAGGGCUGAACCAGCCAAGUCGCGUGAGGGAUGACGGUCCUAUGGAUUGUAAACCUCUUUUGUCAGGGAGCAAAGUGCGCCACGUGUGGCGCUUUGCGAGUACCUGAAGAAAAAGCAUCGGCUAACUCCGUGCCAGCAGCCGCGGUAAUACGGAGGAUGCGAGCGUUAUCCGGAUUUAUUGGGUUUAAAGGGUGCGCAGGCGGAAUGUCAAGUCAGCGGUAAAAUUUCGGGGCUCAACCCCGUCGUGCCGUUGAAACUGGCAUUCUUGAGUGAGCGAGAGGUAUGCGGAAUGCGUGGUGUAGCGGUGAAAUGCAUAGAUAUCACGCAGAACUCCGAUUGCGAAGGCAGCAUACCGGCGCUCAACUGACGCUCAUGCACGAAAGCGUGGGUAUCGAAAAGGAUUAGAUACCCCUGUAGUC
rnacentral:rRNA from 1 species